CUUUGAUAGCUUGUGUGUUCUCCUCUGCAAUACCUGUUUGCCAUCCCUGCCUUGGAGCCAGAUGAUUAUGGACUGAAACCUCUACAAACUAUGCUGGACAGCAGCAGUGAAGCUCCCAGGAGCUACAAGAACACAAGGGGAGUGGCAUCACCCCUUCUGCAGCUGUCCACCCCGUUGUUCCCUCACUAUGACUGGGAGGUGAAUAUAAUCUACUUACUUGAGCUUUCUGAAGCAAAGCCUGCUCCCUCAUUGCUGGUGUCAAGAGGUCUGCUGCCCUCUCUUCUCUUCUAAGAAGAUUGUGGGGAGAGAAACUCAAGCCUCAGAAGGCCCUAAUGUAACAAUCCUAUGCUCCUUUUUGGACCUGAAAAGAACCUGCACACUACAGUAGAGCAUUCAGGUGCAAGCAUCAAAAUGUCAUGAUCCUAAUGAAGGCUUAGACUGUAGACAUCCUUGGAUCAUCCUUAUCCAUCUCCUGAGGAAAAGCAGCUUCUAAAGAAGUGAACUUACUGGCUUCAGAAAUUGUGGGGAAGCUGAGCAGUGUCUUAGAUGCACAGUGAAAAGAGAUGACAGUCACUAAUGGAGGAUGCAUUCAUGCUAAUAAGAUUGCCACUAACAUGAGAUGAAGUUGCGAUUUCUGCAUAUAAAUAAGGAAUCGAACUCAGGACCUUGCAUUUGUGAGGCAGGUGCAGUGCCACUGAGCUAAAUUCCAGGCCUGGAAUAGUUAUUUGUGGAACAAUCCAACUGCCUAGGGAAGUUAUCCUUUACAAUGGUAUCCAUCGUUUGCAGUGUGAUACACAGGUAGUUCUGAGAGGGUAAGGAACUCUUUUUGGC
rnacentral:lncRNA from 1 species